rnacentral:rRNA from 1 species
AUACCGGGCCUUUUUGGGCUUGGUAAUUGGAAUGAGGGAGAGUUAAACGGACCAUCGAGUAUCCAUUGGAGGGCAAGUCUGGUGCCAGCAGCUGCGGUAAUACCAGCUCCAAUAGCGUAUAUUAAAGUUGUUGCAGUUAAAAAGCUCGUAGUUGGACUUGUGUGCGCUGUCCGCGGGUGGCCUGCGCCCAAAAGGGCGUUUCGGUUCGGCCCCGGUGGCGCCUUGAAAUCUGCAGCUGGGGGGACGUUGGCCUUAACUGGUCGGCGACCGCACGCCGGCUGCUCGGUUACUGUGAGAAAAUUAGAGUGUUCAAGGCAGGCAUUGGGUGCAAUUGAAUACAUUAGCAUGGAAUAAUAAAAUAUGGCUCCUGCCGUAUUUUGUUGGUUUUGACUGGUGGGAGUAAUGAUUGAUAGGGACGGUUGGGGGUGCUAGUAUUGAGCGGCCAGAGGUGAAAUUCAUGGAUUCGCUCAAGACUAACUUAUGCGAAAGCAUUCACCAAGGACGUCCUCUUUAAUCAAGAACGAAAGUUGGGGGAUCGAAGACGAUCAGAUACCGUCGUAGUCUCAACCAUAAACUAUGUCGACUUGGGAUCGGCGGUAGUUUUUUCAUUAAGACACUGUCGGGACCACGGGAGAAAUCAAAGUGUCUGGACUCUGGGGGAAGUAUGGUCGCAAGGCUGAAACUUGAAGGAAUUGACGGAAGGGCACCACCAGGAGUGGAGCCUGCGGCUUAAUUUGACCCAACACGGGGAAACUUACCAGGUCCAGAGAUGUAGAGGAUUGACAGAUUGAAGCUCUUUCUUGAUCACUUCGGUGGUGGUGCAUGGCCGUUCUUAGUUGGUGGAGUGAUUUGUCUGGUUAAUUCCGUUAACGAACGAGACCUCAGCCUGCUAGUGUAGUCGGCUGGAUUGCCUUUGGCGAUCCGUGAUUUCGACUUCUUAGAGGGACAAUCGACGCGCAGUCGAUGGAAGUUUGAGGCAAUAACAGGUCUGUGAUCCCCUUAGAUGUUCUGGGCCGCACGCGCGCUACACUGCUGGGCUCAGCGAGUUUUACUUGGCCGAGAGGCCCGGUUAAUCUUGUGAAAUCCCAGCGUGCUUGGGCUCGCCUCCUGCAACUGGAGGCGCCAACGAGGAAUUCCUAGUAGACGCAGGUCAUCAACCUGCAUCGAUUACGUCCCUGCCCUUUGUACACACCGCCCGUCGUUCCAUAAGAGUGAGGCAUCCGGUGAAUUCUCGGGAGAGCCUGGGCGUGGCCAGCAAUGGUCUGCUCGGGUUUGAACUUGCAUAAACUUGGUGCCUAUGAUUAGGG